rfam:Gossypium hirsutum cultivar TM-1 chromosome 12, whole genome shotgun sequence
AACCCAUGGUGAGGGCACCUUUUCAAUAAAUCCUUGUAUCUCUCCCAUGAAUCAUAAAGUGUUUCUAAAUCCAUCUGCACAAAAGAAGAGAUAUCAUUCCUCAACUU